UGGACAGAUUAUUGUAUUCGACUGUAUUCAUGACGUGAAAUAGAGGAUUACACUGUUUUUAAAACGGAAAGUGAAUCAAUUAACAUAAUAUACUCCU
rnacentral:pre_miRNA from 1 species